AUUGCUUCUUGGCCUUUUGGCUAAGAUCAAGUGUAAAAGCUACUGCUAUCAAGUAUAAGGUAAUUCUUCCUUUAAUAAUUUCCUAUCACAGAAGCAGCUUAUUUGAUGCAUCAAAAUAUUCUAGAUAGGGUGUUCCUUU
rnacentral:snRNA from 1 species